CACUCUUUUCUAAUCCCACAGCAAUCUCUUCUAGUUGCUCUUCACAAAAAACACCCAUGCUUCCAAAGCACAGAAAUAUCACGCUUUUACUAGGUUGAGAAUUGAGCCAUACUAAGCACUCGUUCUCCUUACUGUUGGUCUGUUUUUCAGCAAUUAAAGGUCCUAUACAAUAUAUAGGAGGAAUAGGGGAGUUGGGAGUGCAAAGCCCAUCAGAAAUAGCUGUUAUGGCUCUUGGUUCUAAACUGUGGAAUGUAUUUAUAAUAAUUCCAUCAGAUUUAGCCAUCUGGGCUGCUAGUUCCAUAAAGUAUUUGUACUCCAUGGAAUUUCGGUCUAGGAGGGGAUUAGACAUGUCGGAUGAAAAGAUAGGCGGUAUGCCAGGAAACUGAAUAAAAGCAUUAAGAUCUUUAAAAGAUGUGGUAUUCUUUUGGUGAAGAGUUGGCAGAUAAAGUAGUAUUGAAAGACUAGCGGCUGCUGAUGUGAAGAAGUAAUAAGUGGGAAUGUUAAUUGCUGAUGCAACAUCGGAAGCUGAGCUACAAAACAUGUCCAUAACGAAAGCUUUCACAUGAGCUUUGGAGGAUAUAGUUUCAAGGGCUUGGCGAACGUUGGGAUUGUUGAAGCUUUGGAGGUCAAAGUUGAGGCCUUCAACAGAAGCGACAUAGUUUGAUGGGAGAGGUGUGGUGGGGAGAUGGUAGAAAGUGAUGGAAGGCGUGGUGGCAGAAACAUGGCUCGUGUAAGGAGCGGUGGUGGCAGUGUUGAGAUGUGGUGCGGUUGUCAUGAGAAUGAUAAAUUCAGAGAAGGAAUCAGGAUAUCGACACAGAACUAGCUUUGCAAGUUCCACCAUAGCUAUCAAGUGCCCAAUUCCAGGAGAAGGAUACAGAAUGAUGCAACUAUUGUUUUUCUCCUCCAUUUUUCUUUGUUUCUUUCCGAUUAUUUUCAGAAGGCGGAUAUAGACAAUAGGACCUUUGCUACUAGAGCUUAUAAUGGGAUAAGAUUGUAGAUGACUUUUUCGUAAUUCUGGACAGGCCCUCAAACACAUGCGUAGGAAGGACACUCUGUCGUUUUCGAAAUUAUGGUCCAGUAACUGACUAGAGUAUCUAAACUUAAUACAACUAGAGCACCCUCACCUGCUUGGUCUGUUACUAUACCUAAGAACCUCAAAAUAAGUAAGUUCGAAGACAAGUAAAUUUUGAGUUUGAUGAGCUGGGUUAGUUUAGGUUCGAGCUUCCGUUCCCCCAACUUGGAUGUAUAACUGAAUACCAAUUUUAACAGAAUUUGAGCUAAAAGUUACACCAAAGGUAAGAUAAAUGAGUAGAAUGAUUGAAAUGUUAGUUAGGCAUGGUAUUUAAUGACGAAAACUGCACUUAACCCGUGAGCAUAGAUAUUUUGGCAAGGUAUACAGUUGAUAACACUCCUUUGGCCAGGAUCUGGAAGCUGAAUAAAGCCAGGGUUAGCUCAAAAGCUCUAUCUCGAAAGAACAAUAUCUAGGUGUACUAUAUGCAAACUACUCCGCUGCAUCAAUAAAUGGAUAGAAUUGCUGGGUGCUUUUAUCAUCACAAUACUCCUUAAAUGUCAUCAACCCUUCUGCCUCAUUGUAAAAUGUUGUUUCACUUCUCCUAUUCACUUGAAAUUAGGUUUGAUAUUAGGCAUAUACGUUCCAUGCCCUUGUUAAACUAAUCUUACAUUAAUAAAUACACACCUUAUGUUAUUAUGCAUACAUGAUCCAUGCCCAUGUGUAAUCCUACAUUAACAAAUACUGGCCAAUUUUAUUGAUGUAUACACACACACGUGGGAAGGGGAAAAAAAAAAAAAGAGCCAAUAAUACAUUGCAGCUUUGCUGCUCUAAACUACUCCUUCCACUUGGUAAUCAAUUUGGGUGACACAACCCAUGACAGUUCCAUUCUCAUCAGUCAGUGCUGCCUUGGCAGCAUCUCUCAAUUCCCCGACUUGGUGCCUCACCUUUCCCUGUUAUCUGAGUUCAUCAACUCUCUAGCGCUAUCCUAUCUCACCAGAGUCACCACCACUAGCAACCUUCCUACAUCAGACUCCUCCAACCCUAGCCCCACCCUCAUUCUUCCACAAAAGAUACCUUGUUAUUUCUUCUCCACGUACAAUGGCCACCCACUCAUAGGUAUCCCAGCACAAACCUCUCCCAAAAUCGAGUUCCAUCCACAAUGAUUCAUGAAACCAUCGAUGAAUCAUGACUUCGCACAGCAACUUGCGGUGCCCAGGACUUCACAACAAAUCCCCUUCCUUGGUUCUCCAUUCUCCAAGAAACCCGUGGCAGGAGUAUAUUCAGAUCAGGUUCUUCUGAUGCUAAAAUUCUAUUGCUUUCAUCAUCACCACCUUUGGGUGGUGGAUUCCUAACAACCCACUAGAACAUAUGACGCUAUUUUCUAAUCCCGCAGCAAUCUCUUUUAGUUGCUCUUCUCCAAAGACACCCAAGCUUUCAAAGCAUAGAAAACUCACACUUUUACUAGGUUGAGAAUUGAGCCAUACCAAGCACUCGUUGCCCCCGCUGUCGGUCUGCUUUUCAGCGACCAAGGUUCGAUGCAAUAUACAGGAGUGGGAGAGUUUUAGAUGCACAGCCCAUCAGAAAUAGCUGUUAUAGCUGGUAGUAGAGACAGGUCGUGUAAGGACCAGUGGUGCGCUAGUUGAGAUGAGAAUAAUAAUUAUAGAGUAUUGA
rnacentral:lncRNA from 1 species